UACGUAGGGCGCGAGCGUUGUCCGGAUUUAUUGGGCGUAAAGAGCUCGUAGGCGGCUUGUCGCGUCGAAUGUGAAAACCCGAGGCUCAACUUCGGGCUUGCAUUCGAUACGGGCAGGCUAGAGUUCGGUAGGGGAGACUGGAAUUCCUGGUGUAGCGGUGAAAUGCGCAGAUAUCAGGAGGAACACCGGUGGCGAAGGCGGGUCUCUGGGCCGAUACUGACGCUGAGGAGCGAAAGCGUGGGGAGCGAACAGG
rnacentral:rRNA from 1 species